UUUUUUAUUUUUGCGAUGACACGCAAUCAAUACAACUUUCAACAACGGAUCUCUUGGCUCUCGCAUCGAUGAAGAACGCAGCGAAAUGCGAUACGUAAUGUGAAUUGCAGAAUUCAGUGAAUCAUCGAAUCUUUGAACGCACCUUGCGCCCCUUGGCAUUCCGAGGGGCACACCCGUUUGAGUGUCGUGAAAUUCUCAAAAACCCCUUCCUUUGGUGGAGAGGAUUUUGGACUUGGAGGUCUUUUGCUGGUUUCACCUUGAAGCGAGCUCCUCCCAAAUGGAUUAGUGGGGUCUGCUUUGCCGAUCCUUGACGUGAUAAUAUGUUUCUACGUCUUGGGUUUCUGCACUGUACCUCUGCUUCUAACCGUCUCAUUGACAACGAUGGUGUUCCGGUCACCGCCGAUUCAUCGGUGGGAGGCUUGACCCACAAAACGACCUUGACCUCAAAUCGGGUGGGACUACCCGCUGAACUUA
rnacentral:rRNA from 1 species